CAAUAUUCGUCAGUUCAUAUUUGGCUCCAACUUUAAAUCGAGAUUGACAAACUAUAAUGUUAUUGGAGGAGUGCCUGAACGGCACGUCAGCGCCAUCUUUUAGUAAAGGAGCUGUCUUCCAAUGCUACUAAUCUAAUUGAAAAUGAAGAAGUGGUGAUGAAGAAGCAACACUUGACGCAAAUUCAAAUAUCAUCUGCUUUGAAUUGAACUUCAUACACUAGGAGUGGUAAAAAAGAGAGGAAAAACAUGAAAUAAUUGAAACUUGUUGACCGGAAAGUAUUGUCAUCCAUUUUUGAAGGGUUGAGAAUAGUGGAAUUUUGUAGGUUAUGAAGCUCAUGUAUCUAAUCUUUAUAUUUUGAUGAUGAAAAAUAAUAUAUAACUUAUUUUCAUAUAUGCGUAUUUUUUAGUUUGUGAAAAUAUAGUUGUUUAGCUAGUUGUUUA